UACGUAGGGUGCGAGCGUUGUCCGGAAUUAUUGGGCGUAAAGAGCUCGUAGGCGGUUUGUCACGUCUGCUGUGAAAUCCCGAGGCUCAACCUCGGGCCUGCAGUGGGUACGGGCAGACUGGAGUGCGGUAGGGGAGAAUGGAAUUCCUGGUGUAGCGGUGGAAUGCGCAGAUAUCAGGAGGAACACCGCUGGCGAAGGCAGUUCUCUGGGCCGUAACUGACGCUGAGGAGCGAAAGCGUGGGGAGCGAACAGG
rnacentral:rRNA from 1 species